UCAAGUUAUUUUCAAUAAAUCGAAGAUUCCGUGGACAAAUGAAGAUUCCAUGUGACCACGAGCAAUCAUCAUUUUCUUUCAUUGAAAAUCCAUUGCAAUUCGUCGUUAUUUUCAUUGUCUAUAGUACAAUGGCUAUUGACCCAGGAAUCAAACAACGACCUUGGGCGUGGAUUUUCAACAUCUUCAACAUUAACUGAGUAAAGCUGAUAACUAAGAUGAUAUGAAUUUAAAUGGAACAUGCUGGCUACAUCAAUUUACGAUUUUUAUCUACAACUGCAGUAGAGAACCAUCUACGAUUGGGAUUCAAGUGACGUGACGAAGAUGAAGGUCGCGAGUGUCAGAGAAUGGACACUCCCUUUUAGCUUGAACGAGAGGUCAAAUUUCCCAUUCGUUGAUGAUUCAAUUGGCCAAUGUCCUCAGGGUGUUUCUUGUACUAUCAAAAAAUGUAUAAUUCAACUAUCGAUCUUCAACUAUUGAAUAAGGG